AUUGAACGCUGGCGGCAGGCCUAACACAUGCAAGUCGAGCGGAGCGGCGGACGGGUGAGUAAUGCCUAGGAAUCUGCCUGGUCGUGGGGGAUAACGUCCGGAAACGGGCGCUAAUACCGCAUACUAUCAGAUGAGCCUAGGUCGGAUUGGCUAGUUGGUGGGGUAAAGGCCUACCAAGGCGACGAUCCGUAACUGGUCUGAGAGGAGGAUCAGUCACACUGGAACUGAGACACGGUCCAGAGGCCUACGGGGGGCAGCAGUGGGGAAUAUUGGGCAAUGGGCGAAAGCCUGAUGCAGCGACGCCGCGUGGGGGAUGAAGGCCUUCGGGUUGUAAACUCCUUUCGCUAGGGACGCGGUACCUGGAGAAGAAGCACCGGCUAACUACGUGCCAGCAGCCGCGGUAAUUC
rnacentral:rRNA from 1 species